rnacentral:lncRNA from 1 species
GGGGGUUUCAAUCAACCAACAAACAACCAAAAUAAAUUAUAAAAUUCAACUACUUUGUAUUAAUUCUUAAUAUUAUGCUGUUAAUGGUACAAAAGGACACCUUCAAGUUAAAAAAAAGCAUGACAUUUGCUCAUAAGUACUCUUCGAGGUCAGACCAUAAUUUGAUUUGAGAUUCUUCCUUUACUCUUUUGAAGUUAUCACGAGCAACCCCAAAGCACCAAUGAGAAUAUACUGCAAAACAUAAGAGACAGCUUUAGCACACUUCAUACUUGCUGCAAUUCAAAUUAUAGGAUCUACUUGCUCUAAUGUAAGGAGUUGACUUGAAAGAGAAAAGUGAUAAAUCAUAGCCCAUUGGUUUAAAAACCAUGAGAUGUAACUGCUAACUUUUCUAACUAAUGAGUAUCCCUCACUUUUAAGGGGUCACAAAUCCUAAAAUCUAUGCCAUACACCUUUAAACCUGUCAUCAUUUACCUCAGUAAAAGAUCCUGAUAAUUAUGUUUCACCAUAAACAUACAUAAAUGUAAACAACCAACUUCAGCUAAAUGAUAACACAAUAGGUUGGUGGAGCAAACAAACCUUGAUGAUAGGUUUUUCAGUCAUGAUAAUUGUCACCCAGCCAACAUAAGGUAAGAACCUGCCAUUGACAAAUACAAGCAAUAUUAACACAGAAUGUCAUAAAAUGAUUUCCAAACAUGCUUUGUUCUAUAGGAAUGCAAACUGUAGAGUUGGAUAAAUUUGGAUAAACCCUUGGUAUGUUCAAAGGUUCAACAAGUGUUAGAUAUUCCACAAGGUGUCUUCAAGCAUAAACCAUGCAUAAUACCUUAAUGUCACAAAUUUCAUUCUUAUUAUAGUUUGAGACUUAAUACUUAAAAGCACAUAACCUUAAUCUUUAUGUUACAAUUCUACAAGAAAUGCUAUACAUACCCAACAGCUCUACCCAUAAUGUGGUGCCUUUGCAGCCAAAGCUGGCCAUGAGCAUACAGUAGCCUGUCAUCCCCGUAGUUGUUAUCACCUGCCAAAAACAGCAAAAUACAACGGAAGGGUGUUACAUUGUCAGAGAACCACUAUAUAAAUUGACAACUAAACGAGAAUAAGGAAAUAUAAUAUUGGAUAAAAGAAUGAAAACCAAAUUCACUACUGAGAUUAUGAAAAUCAAAUUCACUACUGAGAUUGGGUUUUGUAUAUGUAGAGUGUAAAUUCAGCACUCUCAAUAUUUCAGUUAUAGUCACUACCUUUUGUGAGAACAUCAACCUCCCCAGUAUCUCCUCUUUCAUGUACCUACAAAAUGAUCAAGCAUUUAGAGUCUCAAACAGGACAAUCUUAACUAUCAUUCAACACAUGAAGAUCGGUCCAGGUAAUAUCAAUCUUAUCCACUAUCCUCAGAUUAGUGAUACUCUCCACUCUCCAGUUUCCACAAGUUGUCACUUGCAAAUGACAGGAUAUUGAUGAAAGUAGUUCAAACAAUACCAGAGGUUCAAAAAGUGAAGGCGGAACUUUCAAUGGUUUCAGUUCACAAUGUAUCGAUCCUUAUAUUUUUUUUAUUCAGCUAUGAUAAAUAAGAACUAAAAGCAGGUAGUGACCAUGUUGAUAGGACCCAGAUACAAAAUCAAGCUUGGUAAGCUUAAUCUGAUAUGUAAGUUAUGCAGUUACAGUUUGAAUAGGUAUCCUACACAUUCGAGAAAUGAAAUGUAUCCCUCCAUCCAGCACCGUGAACAACUUUUCCUAAUAUUCCAUCCAGGAGACAACUAUGUGAGUUGAUCACUCAUGGUCUGAGGCUCUAACAUGAGAAGGUGCAAAACACUUUGUCUCAAAGUCACAUUCAGUAAUGAUGCAACUGAUGAAAGAACGUACUAAUUCAACCAAAAUAUUGAGCUUACCUUAAUUACACGAUGCACGAUUGGAAUCUCUCGUCCCUAGAGAAAAAAAAGGGUACAUUCCAACAAACUUUGUCAGUACGGAAAGUAUCAAGCAAAAUACAAAGAAUUGGAAUCGGCUGAUAUAUAGAUAUGAAUCGAAGUAAGCAAAACAUAAAGGAUAUAAAACAGCGAGGUGAACUUACAUCUAUAUUAAAUACAACAAUCUCUCCUGCGCGAAUUGGAUCCUUACUCAUGUGUAAAAACAAGAUGUCCCCCUUCAAAAACCAACAUUCAUUAGCAACAAAAAGAAACAGACAGUUUAUAUUGACAAAUGAUUUGAAUCUAUAUAUGCAGCUUGUCUCUUCUUGACGACACUGUACUGUUGUUGUAGAAAAAUAUUAGAUACAGAAUUACCGAGGCUUCGAUGAUAAGAUUUGCUUACCCGUUUGAAGCCAGGUUCCAUACUUCCAGAAAGAACAACGACAACAGGAGAUUCACUGCCAGUGAUGCACAUCAAUGCCUUCCAUAUUAUCAGUGCAGACGUAACAAUCAUGCC